UGGGGAAUAUUGGACAAUGGGGGGAACCCUGAUCCAGCCAUGCCGCGUGUGUGAAGAAGGCCUUUUGGUUGUAAAGCACUUUAAGCGAGGAGGAGGCUACCUAGAUUAAUACUUUAGGAUAGUGGACGUUACUCGCAGAAUAAGCACCGGCUAACUCUGUGCCAGCAGCCGCGGUAAUACAGAGGGUGCGAGCGUUAAUCGGAUUUACUGGGCGUAAAGCGUGCGUAGGCGGCCAAUUAAGUCAAAUGUGAAAUCCCCGAGCUUAACUUGGGAAUUGCAUUCGAUACUGGUUGGCUAGAGUAUGGGAGAGGAUGGUAGAAUUCCAGGUGUAGCGGUGAAAUGCGUAGAGAUCUGGAGGAAUACCGAUGGCGAAGGCAGCCAUCUGGCCUAAUACUGACGCUGAGGUACGAAAGCAUGGGGAGCAAACAGGAUUAGAUACCCUGGUAGUCCAUGCCGUAAACGAUGUCUACUAGCCGUUGGGGCCCUUGAGGCUUUAGUGGCGCAGCUAACGCGAUAAGUAGACCGCCUGGGGAGUACGGUCGCAAGACUA
rnacentral:rRNA from 1 species